rnacentral:antisense_RNA from 1 species
CGGAGCCGGUGGGCUCAGGCGGGCGCGGCUGAGGGGAGCGGACCGCGUGGGGCGGGAUGACUGCGCCCAAGGCCUUUGCGGGCCUCAGCCGGCCCCAGAGGAAGGGGGACCCGUCGAGCGGUUCGGUUAGAGCAGCCAGCGGGUACAGAAUGGAUUUUGGAGGAGGGAGUCACCACUGGACCUCCAAGGAAGCCACGUGCAGACAUCUACAACCUUCGAUCUCUUGACGAGUUUAUUGUUGGCUAAAACCAACCAGGAUGAAUGCGGGCGUUGGAAGUAGAAUAUAUACAUAUACAUAUAAAAUUGGUUGGGAGCCACGUGUACCAGUGUGUUGAUCUUGGCUUGAUUCAGUCUGCCUAGUAACAGAAACUGGCGAUGGUAUAUGAGAGGAGCCCUCUGGAAAGAAAAGGACAGACCCUGUGCUUUCAUGAAAGUGAAGAUCUGGCUGAACCAGUUCCACAAGGUUACUGUAUACAUAGCCUGAGUUUAAAAGGCUGUGCCCAUUUGAAGAAUGUCAUUGUUAGACUUUGGUGAAAUUUCUAACUGCCUACCUGGAUAAAGAAAAUAAAAUCUUUUAAAUCAAAA